CAGUAGCCACGGGAAUACGUAGGGUGCAAGCGUUAAUCGGAAUUACUGGGCGUAAAGCGUGCGCAGGCGGUUUGUUAAGACAGAUGUGAAAUCCCCGGGCUCAACCUGGGAACUGCAUUUGUGACUGGCAAGCUAGAGUAUGGCAGAGGGGGGUGGAAUUCCGCGUGUAGCAGUGAAAUGCGUAGAUAUGCGGAGGAACACCGAUGGCGAAGGCAGCCCCCUGGGCCAAUACUGACGCUCAUGCACGAAAGCGUGGGGAGCAAACAGGAUUAGAUACCCGAGUAGUCCCUGUCUCUUAUAC
rnacentral:rRNA from 1 species